CUUGUCAAUCUACGUUGGAAGUAUGAAAAAAAAAAAAAAAAAAAAAAACAAAAUA
rnacentral:ribozyme from 13 species